AGUCGAUUUUGGAAGUAGAACACGGCAGCCUGGGCUUGAUUGUCAGUUUGGCAGCUACAGUGCAGCUAUGAAUGGUAGCAGUGAAAGCAUACAUCCUGACAAGAAUGGGAAUGCUUCUAACAUUUCACGUUCAAGUAUGUUUCCUGUCAGUUUUAGAAAAUUAAAGUGCCUUUUAAUCUUCGUUUGCUAAAAAUGUUAAUUUGAAAAUAUAAUAAAAUUCAUUUCAGAGGC